rnacentral:rRNA from 1 species
UACGGGGGGAGCAAGCGUUGUUCGGAUUUACUGGGCGUAAAGGGCGCGUAGGCGGCCACUGCAAGUCGGUUGUGAAAUCUCCGGGCUUAACCCGGAAAGGUCAAUCGAUACUGCAGGGCUAGAGUGCGGAAGGGGCAACUGGAAUUCUCGGUGUAGCGGUGAAAUGCGUAGAUAUCGAGAGGAACACCUGCGGCGAAGGCGGGUUGCUGGGCCGACACUGACGCUGACAGCGCGAAAGCUAGGGGAGCGAACAGG